AAUCCAUCAGAGGCUAAAGAACCUUUAAGCUCUCCUUCAAACUUUAAGAGACCAUAGACUUCUCAUCAAACAAGAACAUUGUGGACAUUCUGACAAUGAGUUUCCUGAAAUGUCCACACAAGGCUUUCAGAACCUAACACUGGAACAUCCGGAAGACCGAACUAUAGCACAGCCUAAAACAAUCCAGCAAAAUACACAAGUCAAGGACACCCAGACUACCAGUGAUGAUCCAAUUGCUUCAGGUUCUGCAGAUGCUGGAUCACAGAGGGUAAGAGACAUAUUCCCAAUACCCACAGCAAUUAAGUGCUGAAGUAUUUCAAUCAAUAUCUAAAGCACACUUGGUGAGCCCUGGGCUAGCACAGGCAAAUGAAACAUAUGUUCAUCAUAUCAAAUCUCAAGCAAUAUAAACAGAGAAAUAACUGCUUAUAAGAAUUAACAAUCAAUAUCAUUAUUCCUGGAAUGGUUUGGCAUUUUGGGGUUCCUCUGGCAUGUGAACUUUACACUGUCAUUUACUAAGCUAGCUAAAGUCAGUCAGCUAAAAGCUGCCACCACAUGCUGUGGAGACUGUCCAGUCUGGCCCUCCCUUCUCCUCCAGAGCUCAGAGAUGACAUUGUUAAUGGCGACAGUAUAAAGCUGGGAUGGAAGCCAGUAACCCCAACAUCAGUGCUCACUUGGUGUGUUGUGGUUGUAUGUGUGUUGAGAUUCCGUUUUGUGUUUUUGCUUCUAACAGUUCUGGUUUAAUCUUUG